GACGAACGCUGGCGGCGUGCCUAAUACAUGCAAGUUGAGCGCUGAAGGUUGGUACUUGUACCAACUGGAUGAGCAGCGAACGGGUGAGUAACGCGUGGGGAAUCUGCCUUUGAGCGGGGGACAACAUUUGGAAACGAAUGCUAAUACCGCAUAAAAACUUUAAACACAAGUUUUAAGUUUGAAAGAUGCAAUUGCAUCACUCAAAGAUGAUCCCGCGUUGUAUUAGCUAGUUGGUGAGGUAAAGGCUCACCAAGGCGAUGAUACAUAGCCGACCUGAGAGGGUGAUCGGCCACAUUGGGACUGAGACACGGCCCAAAAUCCUACGGGAGGCAGCAGUAGGGAAUCUUCGGCAAUGGACGAAAGUCUGAACGAGCAACGCCGCGUGAGUGAAGAAGGUUUUCGGAUCGUAAAACUCUGUUGGUAGAGAAGAACGUUGGUGAGAGUGGAAAGCUCAUCAAGUGACGGUAACUACCCAGAAAGGGACGGCUAACUACGUG
rnacentral:rRNA from 1 species